UACGGAGGGUGCAAGCGUUACUCGGAAUCACUGGGCGUAAAGCGCGCGCAGGCGGGCUGAUAAGUUGGAUGUGAAAGCCUACGGCUUAACCGUAGAACUGCAUCCAAAACUGUCAGUCUAGAGUCUGGGAGGGGAAGAUGGAAUUAGUGGUGUAGGGGUAAAAUCCGUAGAGAUCACUAGGAACACCAAAAGCGAAGGCGAUCUUCUGGAACAGUACUGACGCUGAGGCGCGAAAGCGUGGGGAGCAAACAGGAUUAGAUACCCUGGUAGUCCACGCCCUAAACGAUGAAUGUUAGUCGUCGGGUAGCUAGUCUAUUCGGUGAUGCAGCUAACGCAUUAAACAUUCCGCCUGGGGAGUACGGUCGCAAGAUUAAAACUCAAAGGAAUAGACGGGGACCCGCACAAGUGGUGGAGCAUGUGGUUUAAUUCGAAGAUACGCGAAGAACCUUACCUGGCCUUGACAUUGAUAGAAUUCUGUAGAGAUACGGAAGUGCCCUUCGGGGAGCUUGAAAACAGGUGCUGCACGGCUGUCGUCAGCUCGUGUCGUGAGAUGUUGGGUUAAGUCCCGCAACGAGCGCAACCCUCGUCACUAGUUACUAACGGUUCGGCCGAGGACUCUAGUGAGACUGCCUUCGCAAGGAGGAGGAAGGUGAGGACGACGUCAAGUCAUCAUGGCCCUUACGGCCAGGGCGACACACGUGCUACAAUGGGUAGGACAAUGAGACGCGAUACCGCGAGGUGGAGCAAAUCUAUAAACCUACUCUCAGUUCGGAUUGUACUCUGCAACUCGAGUGCAUGAAGCUGGAAUCACUAGUAAUCGUAGAUCAGCCAUGCUACGGUGAAUACGUUCCCGGGUCU
rnacentral:rRNA from 1 species